ACUAGAGAAGUGUAACGGUUACAUGUCAGUCUCAUAAUCUGAAGAUAGUAGGUUCGACUCCUAUCUCUGGUA
rnacentral:tRNA from 1 species